rnacentral:tRNA from 1 species
GCCUGGGUGGCUUGGUCGGUUAAGCGUCUGACUUCGGCUCAGGUCAUGAUCUCACGGUCCGUGAGUUUGAGCCCCGCAUCAGGCU